CCUACGGGAGGCAGCAGUGAGGAAUAUUGGUCAAUGGCCGUAAGGCUGAACCAGCCAAGUCGCGUGAGGGAAGACUGCCCUAUGGGUUGUAAACCUCUUUUAUCCGGGGAUAAAGCUGUCCACGUGUGGCUGUUUGCAGGUACCGCAUGAAUAAGGCACGGCUAAUUCCGUGCCAGCAGCCGCGGUAAUACGGCAGGGCCGGGCGUUAUCCGGUUUUCUUGGGUUUAAAGGGAGCGUAGGCCGGUCUUUAAGCGUGCCGGGAAAUUUUGUGGCUCAAACAUGAGCGUGCGGCGCGAACUGGAGACCUUGAGUGCGCGGAAGGCAGGCGGAAUUCGUGGUGUAGCGGUGAAAUGCUUAGAUAUCACGAAGAACCCCGAUUGCGAAGGCAGCCUGCCGCAGCGUUACUGACGCUGAAGCUCGAAAGCGCGGGUAUCGAACAGGAUUAGAUACCCUAGUAGUC
rnacentral:rRNA from 1 species